AUGUUGGAACCUUUUUUUUAUGGCUAAUUGCAUACAGUUUUCUGUAAAUAUAUAUAUCGAAUAGCUAAUCUAUCGUUACAAAGUUCAAAAGUUCAGUUAUAUAUGCUCAUAUGUGCCGCUUAAUUUGGUUGUUACCGUUAGAAUAUUGUUUAUUUUUUAAUAACAGAUAAAUGAAAUGGUAUUUUUACCUACCCUUAUAAAUAUAUUUCUCCAAAAGCCCCAACCGUUAGAAUAUACAGAAAUAUUCUUUAAAAAAUUUUAUUUAAUAAUAUAAGAGGGGUAACAAGAUUAAUUCAACUCAUUUACUAAUCAAUGUCAAGUAUUUUACUCAUGGUUAACUAUAUUUUUCUAACAAAUCUUAACAGUAGAGGUAUAUUUGAAAACAAUAGGACUUUUAUAGGAAUAAUAAUAAAAAACUGAACUGUAGAAGUAUAUCUGCUAUUUAUUAUAUUUACAGAGAGCUGUAUGCAAUUAAUCUUGUUUUAAGGCUAAAUUAUAGAAAAUCUUCUUACCAAUACCCACUUUUUUACUUUUCUUUUCGUCUUUUAAAAAACCUAUACUUUGACUACUUAAAAAAUACAAAAAUAUUCACUUCCCUCUAUUAUGUUAGGGUUCCGUUUAUAUUAUUUUAUUAUAUAUUUUUUAUAUCCAAAAUACUUUUGAAACUCUCAUUUGAGAAGCUCCUCCUCCGUCCUCACCAACGUCCUCGACCGUGUUGCCUCGCCCUCGCCCACCCCUCUGUCCACGCUCACACACACACCCUCACCCUCCUCCGCUUCCUCGCCCUUGCCCUCACGCAUCUUUCAGUCCACGCCCACCCCGAUCUCCUCCCUUCUAUUGCCAAAAUGGAGGAGCGGUGAGGGUGUAGGAGAGGGAGAGCAGAUAUAGGAAACGGAGUCAGAGUCGGGUUCGAGGGAGGCGUGAAGGACGGAGGAGGAGAGACUAUGGAUCAGCAGAAUUGGAGAGGAAACGAAAAGGGUGAGGUGCAAUUUGGUCAUUUUGUCAUCACAAUUAACACCGUACCAUUAUGUAAAUAUUUUUCAUUUUUUAGGAAUAAAGCGUAGAUUUUUAAAUAAUAUUGAAGAAAAAUAAAAAAUUAAAUUUUUAUGAAAAGUUUUUUUUUUUUUGUUGUUGUUAUAAUUUAGCCUUUUUCUUUUACAGUAGUU
rnacentral:lncRNA from 1 species